ensembl:antisense Gm15632 predicted gene 15632
AGUCCUCGGGGAGGAAGCUACCAGGCCAGUUCAGCUAACUUCCUUCAAGUCCUGUGUCUCAAGAUCUCUGAGCUAACAAUAAGAAACUGAACCAAACUUUUCGGAGGAUAAUGGCGCACAAAUCACUUGCUGUAAUGGGUGUUUCUACCUCACAAUGCAACCAAGUCCAUUGUGCAGGAGAUAAUAGAACUCUCUCACAAAAGUUGCUACAUUGUUGCCAAGCAACAAGAAAUAAAGUGUCAAGAU